rnacentral:rRNA from 1 species
AAACAAGUAAAAUUCUUUACCAAAAACUUAAAGUAAACAAACACAAUACUUAGUACCUAAACCAACCCAAUAUCAUAAAUUACCGCAAGGGCCACUUACCUUACAAGAAAGAAGAAAUAUACCCUCCUACCUUCUGCAUCAUGUGGUUGCAACAAACAUAAGUCUACACUAUUUCCCGAAAAAUGAAGAGCUAUUAUUAACACAACCCUAGUGUGUCAUUACUAGUUAAAAGUUAAUAAUAGAAGCAAAAUACCUGACGAGUCAUUUGAUAGCUGGUUGUCCCUUAAACACAUGUAAGUGUACCCCGGCAGAAAUACCAAUCUUUGUAUCUGCCGGAGCAAGCCUAGUGAGGAUAAGCUCGCUGGGUCACCCUAAACACUUUAGCACAAGAUGAUAUAAGUAGGCUUAAAACCAGCCAACAAAAUCCGUUAUAGGGAAUAUAACUAUUUAUACUGUAUAAAAUACUCGUUUUAACCUUAAGGAACCUUAGCAAAUAACAAUCAGCCUAAUGAACCGGCACCCAUUAGUAUCUCUACUUUUCAAAAAGAAAACUUUAAACAAAACUUACCAAAACCCUACAACCCAUUAACCGUAGACAACGAACUCGGCAAUUUCCUUCCUCGCCUGUUUACCAAAAACACCGUCCUUCGAUCCCUUCUAUGAAGGAUACUGCCUGCCCAAUGAUUAAAAAUUAAAUGGCCGCGUUAGCGUGAGCGUGCUAAGGUAGCGUAAUAAACAGCUCCCCAAUUAGGAGCCAGUGAAUGGCAACACGGAGAAGAACUGUAUCAUCUACGAAAAGAAAACUUUUCCUUUAAGUGAAAAGACUUAAAUAAAGGAGAAAGACAAAAAGACCCCGCGGAACUUUCUUCAUAAAGAACAACCUACCACAAAAGUCAACUAAUUGAAGUUGGUUGGGGCAACCAUGGAACAAGCAAAACUUCCAUAAUAUCGCCGAAUCCUAUAUAAAACUAAUUCAGGACCAUACUGUAGUUACCCCGGGGAUAACAGCGUAAUCCAGCUUGAGAGUACCCAUUGAAAGCUGGGCUUGCGACCUCGAUGUUGGCUUAGGGGAAGCAACUUGGCGCAGCCACUAAGUUUCAUGCCAGUCUGUUCGACUGCAAACCCCCUACAUGAGCUGAGUUAAGACCGGCGAGAGCUAGGUUGGACUCUAUCUUCUCUUUAAUAAAACCCUUUAUUGUACGAAAGGACCCAAAGGGGCACACCACUAACCGUGCCCGUCAAACUCUUACCAAGCAACUAACAGCACCACUUCUA